rnacentral:rRNA from 1 species
GACGUAGGGCGCGAGCGUUGUCCGGAUUUAUUGGGCGUAAAGAGCUCGUAGGCGGCUUGUCGCGUCGACUGUGAAAACCCACGGCUUAACUGUGGGCUUGCAGUCGAUACGGGCAGGCUAGAGUUCGGUAGGGGAGACUGGAAUUCCUGGUGUAGCGGUGAAAUGCGCAGAUACCAGGAGGAACACCGGUGGCGAAGGCGGGUCUCUGGGCCGAUACUGACGCUGAGGAGCGAAAGCGUGGGGAGCGAACAGG